CCUACGGGGGGCAGCAGUAGGGAAUCUUCCACAAUGGGCGAAAGCCUGAUGGAGCAACGCCGCGUGGGUGAAGAAGGUCUUCGGAUCGUAAAACCCUGUUGUUAGAGAAGAAAGUGCGUGAGAGUAACUGUUCACGCUUCGACGGUAUCUAACCAGAAAGCCACGGCUAACUACGUGCCAGCAGCCGCGGUAAUACGUAGGUGGCAAGCGUUAUCCGGAUUUAUUGGGCGUAAAGGGAACGCAGGCGGUCUUUUAAGUCUGAUGUGAAAGCCUUCGGCUUAACCGGAGUAGUGCAUUGGAAACUGGGAGACUUGAGUGCAGAAGAGGAGGGUGGAACUCGAUGUGUAGCGGUGAAAUGCGUAGAUAUAUGGAAGAACACCAGUGGCGAAAGCGGCUCACUGGGCUGUAACUGACGCUGAGGUUCGAAAGCGUGGGUAGCAAACAGGAUUAGAUACCCUUGUAGUC
rnacentral:rRNA from 1 species